rnacentral:rRNA from 1 species
UGGGGAAUAUUGGACAAUGGGCGAAAGCCUGAUCCAGCCAUGCCGCGUGUGUGAAGAAGGCCUUUUGGUUGUAAAGCACUUUAAGCGAGGAGGAGGCUACUUAGAUUAAUACUCUAGGAUAGUGGACGUUACUCGCAGAAUAAGCACCGGCUAACUCUGUGCCAGCAGCCGCGGUAAUACAGAGGGUGCGAGCGUUAAUCGGAUUUACUGGGCGUAAAGCGUGCGUAGGCGGCUUUUUAAGUCGGAUGUGAAAUCGCUGAGCUUAACUUAGGAAUUGCAUUCGAUACUGGGAAGCUAGAGUAUGGGAGAGGAUGGUAGAAUUCCAGGUGUAGCGGUGAAAUGCGUAGAGAUCUGGAGGAAUACCGAUGGCGAAGGCAGCCAUCUGGCCUAAUACUGACGCUGAGGUACGAAAGCAUGGGGAGCAAACAGG